rnacentral:rRNA from 1 species
GAUGAACGCUAGCUACAGGCUUAACACAUGCAAGUCGAGGGGAAACGAUAUUGGAAGCUUGCUUCCGAUAGGCGUCGACCGGCGCACGGGUGAGUAACGCGUAUCCAACCUGCCCAUCACUUGGGGAUAACCUUGCGAAAGUAAGACUAAUACCCAAUGAUAUCCGUCGAAGACAUCUGAAGUGGAUUAAAGAUUCAUCGGUGAUGGAUGGGGAUGCGUCUGAUUAGCUCGUUGGCGGGGUAACGGCCCACCAAGGCGACGAUCAGUAGGGGUUCUGAGAGGAAGGUCCCCCACAUUGGAACUGAGACACGGUCAAAACUCCUACGGGAGGCAGCAGUGAGGAAUAUUGGUCAAUGGACGAGGGUCUGAACCAGCCAAGUAGCGUGCAGGAUGACGGCCCUAUGGGUUGUAAACUGCUUUUAUAAGGGAAUAAAGUGAGUCUCGUGAGACUUUUUGCAUGUACCUUAUGAAUAAGGACCGGCUAAUUCCGUGCCAGCCGCCGCCGCAG